rnacentral:lncRNA from 1 species
UCUACUUCUCCAAGGUAGUGCUAAGGUCUGCGUACACUUUAUCCUUCCCGGACUUGACUUGUUGAAUUUCACUAGAUAUUGUUGUUGUAAUCCCACAAGUGGGGUAUAGGUGAUACAAGACAGACAAAGGAGGCACAAAACAGACACCAAAACAGUCCACAAGUUGGAAGAACCAAGGACCCCUUUGGUGAUCACUCUCGGAUUCACUACAACAACAACGAAAACACAAUAACAACAAAAUAUUAAGGCGUUCAACACCUCUAAAAUCAGCGAGCCAACAAGCUAGAUUAACAACACAAGCACAAGAAGAACACACAGUCUCGGUUUUGGGACACCAAAUCCGAGAAUG